CCCUUAGAUGUUCUGGGCGGCCCGCGCACUACAAUGGCGUGUGCAGCGAGUGCCGAAGUAGAGUUUUCCGAGGUAUUCUUGCAAUACUCGUUUUGAUGGGGAUAGACCCUUGCAACUGUUGGUUUUGAACGAGGAAUUCCUUGUAAGCAUGGUUUAUCAUCCGACGCUGAAUGCGUCCCUGCCCUUUGUACACACCGCCCGUCGCUCCUACCGAUGAGUCGUCCGGUGAAGUUCGUAGACCUCGUGAUCGCGGAUCACUGGGGGAAGCAAAAUGAACCUCGCGGUUUAGAGGAAGGAGAAGUCGUAACA
rnacentral:rRNA from 1 species